UACGGGGGGGGCAAGCGUUGUUCGGAAUUACUGGGCGUAAAGGGCUCGUAGGCGGCCAACUAAGUCGGAUGUGAAAUCCCCAGGCUCAACUUGGGAACUGCAUCCGAUACUGGAUGGCUUGAAUUCGGGAGAGGGAUGCGGAAUUCCAGGUGUAGCGGUGAAAUGCGUAGAUAUCUGGAGGAACACCGGUGGCGAAGGCGGCAUCCUGGACCGGUAUUGACGCUGAGGCGCGAAAGCCAGGGGAGCAAACGGG
rnacentral:rRNA from 1 species